GACGAACCGUGCGAACGUUGUUCGGAUUCACUGGGCAUAAAGGGCGCGUAGGCGGUUCCGAAAGUGGCCUGUGAAAUCCCCCGGCUCAACCGGGGAAGUGCGGGCCAAACUUCGGUCCUUGAGGCUGGGAGGGGAGACUGGAACUCUCGGUGGAGCGGUGAAAUGCGUAGAUAUCGAGAGGAACACCGGUGGCGAAGGCGAGUCUCUGGUCCAGCUCUGACGCUGAGGCGCGAAAGCGUGGGUAGCAAACAGG
rnacentral:rRNA from 1 species